CGGCAGGCUUAACACAUGCAAGUCGAACGCACCGCAAGGUGAGUGGCAGACGGGUGAGUAACACGUGGGAACGUACCCUUUUGUUCGGAAUAACCCUGGGAAACUAGGGCUAAUACCGGAUACGCCCUAACGGGGAAAGGUUUACUGCAGAAGGAUCGGCCCGCGUCCGAUUAGUUUGUUGGUGGGGUAAUGGCCUACUAAGGCUUCGAUCGGUAGCUGGUCUGAGAGGAUGACCAGCCACAUUGGGACUGAGACACGGCCCAAACUCCUACGGGAGGCAGCAGUGGGGAAUAUUGGACAAUGGGCGCAAGCCUGAUCCAGCCAUGCCGCGUGAGUGAUGAAGGCCUUAGGGUUGUAAAGCUCUUUUACCUGGGAAGAUCAUGACGGUACCAGGAGAAUAAGCCCCGGCUAACUUCGUGCCAGCAGCCGCGGUAAUACGAAGGGGGCUAGCGUUGUUCGGAUUUACUGGGCGUAAAGGGCGCGUAGGCGGGCUGAUAAGUCAGGGGUGAAAUCCCAAGGCUCAACCUUGGAACUGCCUUUGAUACUGUUGGCCUUGAGUCCGGGAGAGGUGAGUGGAACUGCG
rnacentral:rRNA from 1 species